rnacentral:rRNA from 1 species
UGGGGGAUAUUGCACAAUGGGCGAAAGCCUGAUGCAGCGACGCCGCGUGGGGGAUGAAGGCCUUCGGGUUGUAAACUUCUUUUGCUCUGAACAAGGCAUGCUAAUGGGUGUGUUGAGUGUAGGGGUUGAUUAGCGCCGGCUAACUACGUGCCAGCAGCCGCGGUAAUACGUAGGGCGCGAGCGUUGUCCGGAAUUAUUGGGCGUAAAGGGCUUGUAGGUGGCUGGUUGCGUCUGUCGUGAAAGCUCAUGGCUUAACUGUGGGUUUGCGGUGGGUACGGGCUGGCUUGAGUGCAGUAGGGGAGGCUGGAAUUCCUGGUGUAGCGGUGGAAUGCGCAGAUAUCAGGAGGAAUACCGGUGGCGAAGGCGGGUCUCUGGGCUGUUACUGACACUGAGGAGCGAAAGCAUGGGGAGAGAACAGG